GAUGAAGAACGUAGCGAAAUGCGAUAAGUAAUGUGAAUUGCAGAAUUCAGUGAAUCAUCGAAUCUUUGAACGCACAUUGCGCCCGCCAGUAUUCUGGCGGGCAUGCCUGUCUGAGCGUCAUUUCAACCCUCAUGCCCCUAGGGCGUGGUGUUGGGGAUCGGCCAAAGCCCGCGAGGGACGGCCGGCCCCUAAAUCUAGUGGCGGACCCGUCGUGGCCUCCUCUGCGAAGUAGUGAUAUUCCGCAUCGGAGAGCGAUGAGCCCCUGCCGUUAAACCCCCAACUUUCCAAGGUUGACCUCAGAUCAGGUAGGAAUACCCGCUGAACUUAAGCAUAUUCAAUAAGCGGAGGA
rnacentral:misc_RNA from 1 species